CAGAUAUAUUGGUUAAGUAAUGUGGUAUUUCUUUUGUUUCCCUUCAGAAGUAAUUGAUAUGCUGCCCUGUCAUGAAGAACCGAGAUUCUCAGUAGAACCAAACAAAAUGGAGAAACUAAAGUCAUUAGAUUGUGGCCAUGCUGGGGCACUGCCUUGAAGAAGUUUUAGGCGAAUAAAUCAACCCCAGUACCUUUUUCUUUUAUUCUUUUACUUAUUUCAGUCAUUUGACUGUGGCCAUGUUGGAGCACCACCUUUUAGUCGAAGAAAUUGACCCCAGGAUUUAAAAGCCUAGUACUUAUUCUAUCUGUCUCUUUUGCUGAACCACUAGCUUACAAGGACAUAAACACACCAACAUCAGUUGUCAAGUGAUGCUGGGGGGACAAACACAGACACAAAGACACAUACAUAAAUAUAUAUAUAUAAUUG